AUUCAGCUGACGAGUCUCAAAAAGGACAAAACGUGCGUCCUGGAU
rfam:Schistosoma haematobium scaffold1040_24, whole genome shotgun sequence.